UGAGCAUGCAAACGUAACAAACAAACAAACAAAACAAAAGCGAUCUCACACCAAAAGCCCUUUCCGUUCAUGGAUUUAUGGUCUUUCAGUCAAAUACGCAGGCCGACUUUGCAUGCCCUUUACCGCUAGGGAGACAAGAACAAGAGAAUUCGGGUCAAUAAAAGCCGGCGGUUUUCCGUACCUCUGCAGCACUUUCUUGGUGGAGGUGUUUAUUUUGUGAAGAUGGAGUUCAAGGCUAACAAACAGCAAUGGUCCAAGUCAGGUGUUCCCAAUACUGCAUCAACUUAGAUGUGUUGGACAUUCAGUCUUCAGAUACCAUUCCGUACGUCCCUCAGUCCGCCUUGAAAAGAGGAAGCCUCAUUUUUUUUACGCACGGGUCAUCUCGAUUGCUUCUUCCACAUCUGACAAAGAGGUAGAGCAGAUGCUCUGUUCUGAAUGUGAAAGUCGGGAGGGAGUGUUCGGAUGCAGGGAGGUCACCCUUGAAAAAACGCGCCCAUCGGUCAUCUAGGAUAAUGAGGUGUUUUAGCCUGAGAAGGGAUUUGCUUCUGUCAUCUCAGGGCUCGUGAGCUUGUGUAACUUAGUUUCUAAUGCUUAACUUAAAAGAAAAUGACUGUGUUUUCUACUUCCUCCCUCAGCUGUAAUGAACACAGCUCUCCUGUUCAGAGAGCAGCGUGCAAGUCAGUCAGGAGCAAGCUCCACUCUGUGAAGAAAGAGCAUGUAAUAAGUAACCACUCCGACCACAGAAAAUAACUUUUUCAGCUUGUAGUUGAAGCUUUUCAGGAACCAUUUCCACUUUUGGAUUGUUGUGAAGCUGUUGCUGAUACAGAUCCAUAUGGUCUCUAUAGGCUGCUCUCCAUUUUGGAUGCAUGUGAAGCUGGAUGGGAUAAUAAGGCACUGUGAUGGAGGCAAUGAAGAAAGUAGUUACAGUCUUCCACUGUGACCGCUAACGUGAUCUUCAGCGUCAUAGAAUCGUAGAAUCACCCAGGUUGGAAAUGACCCCCAAGACCAUCUAGUCCAACCAUCCACCUACACCAGUAUUUUGCCACCACACCACCAGUGCAACAUCUAAACGUUUCGUGAGCACCUCCAGGGACGGUGACCCAACCGCCUCCCUGGACCGCCGGUUCCAGCACCUGACCACUCUUUUGGAGAAGAAACGUUUCCUAAUAUCCAACCUGAGCCUCCUCUGGCACAGCCUGAGACCAGUGCCUCUAGUCCUAUCGCUAGUGACGCGGGAGAAGGGGCCCACUCCCCAGCCCACAACAGCCUCCUUUCACAGAGUUGUAGACAGCGAUAAGACGUCCCCGGAGCCUCCUCUUCUCCAGACUGAACAACCCCAGUUCCCUCAGCUACUGCUCGUGAGCUUGCUCACUCUGCCGCAAGCCUGUAGCAAUACAUGGGGUUGUUGCGGCCAAA